AGAAAAGAAAGUGGUACAUUUCCGCGUGCCGCUUAAGUCGCCCAUUGUGAUUCGCUUGUGGGCGUGAUAGUAGCAUAUAGCAGCAUGUUCGACUGUGCGUCAAGAAUUCAGCGUAACAAGUUUGUAUGAAGGUCUGGUUAUUAAAUGGGUACAUCGUUCAAUAGUAAUAUCCUUUAAAACGCUCUGGUGACAAACAUAUUUUGCAGCCCUGUUUCCAAUUGGCCACAUGGCUGGGAGAACCUAUUAAAGUAGCUAGCUAACAACCAUGGAGGAGGGUGAAAGGAUAGCAGCCCCAACUGUCAGUGAGAGAGCAGGCUAUUCUGGAUAGGACAGGUACUUUUGUGUAGUUCCUGUCCCUAAAAGUGAGGAUGGAGAUAAUAUUAACUUAAUAUUCAGUGCGGUCUAAUUUGACUAUAAUGAAGUCUGUUUCUUGUGAGGUUCUGUCCUCAGAUAAAGAGAGCUAUGAAAGCCUGUAUACACAUGAAGAGCAGUGGUUCUCAGUCCUGGUCCUGGAGACUCAAAGAGGGCACUGCAAGGUUGGGUGACCAGGGCCAUCUGGGACUGCAUUCUGGAGGAAUUCAGGUGUGUGAUGGCUACCUGUGUUCUGCAUAACUUCAUGAGGAUGGACACGAGGACCAGGAGGGGAUCUGCAGCUCGCCGCUGUGUGCCAGAGGAGAAGUCUGCAGGAUGUUUCAAGGAUGGGGUCCAACAACGCAGCAAGAGAGGCAAUCCGUGUGCAGGAGGUCUUCACUUCCUACUUCUUCAAAGAGGGAGUUGUUCCCUGGCAACACCAUAGACUACACUAUGCACAACCAAAGGCUCUUUAAGAGCCAUUCACAUUGCAAUAAGAGUAUUUUUCCAUUUACUUAGCUAUGUCAACUGCAGUUAUUCAAUUCCCAGUUUCUCUCGCUUUGAUUUCUACUUCUCAGGUGAGGGUACUGUUUAGGUAAGGGUGUGAUGUCUGUACAAAAACAAAACAAGCUAUUUUUAUUUUAUUUUUUUAAAUCAAUAUGGGUAUUCGAAACCCUAUAACCCACAUCUACACACAUGUAUCAAUCUGAUUGUGAGAUUGUGUUGUACCAGGCUCAGGUGUAUAACUGUGGCUCCUUCCACCUUCAAAGAAUGGGCAAAAGAGCCAACCAUGGAGAAUAGCAAGACACUUGACUAUUUCUAUAACUAUGCUAUAUUGUUUGUCCUCGUGUGUUCGUUCAUGUUUUUCAGCAUAAAGUACUCUGCAGCCACUUAGUGUGGUGUGGACACCAGGUGAGGCGACACACACAGAUUCCUGUUGAACACUGUCCCUUUAACUACCUUAAUUUCUCUAAUUUUAAAUCCUCUAGGUUAUAUCAGCUGUGUUGGUGAACCCCUCCCGCAUCUGAACUGGCUACAUCGAGGGCACAGCAUGAUAAGAGAUGUUUUGAUGUGAGAGGAUGCCAACCCCCAGUCCCAUCAUCGCUACCUCACCCGCUUUUAAGAUAACCUUCGGGCUGACUAGAGACACUUAUGUAAUUGUGAUGAACUGAGAGAAUAUUUGGGUUGCACUGUGAUUCAUUAAUCAUAGGAGCAGGGGAAGGCAGCAUAUGUUCUUACCUCUUUCCCUUUUACACCUCUCUUGCCACCUUUCUUCCUCUCUUAUUAUAAUGCAUAACAGAUAUGCAUUGAAGUACAGAUUGAACUUGUAUUGAUAACACUUGGAUAAUGAACUGCUUUCAAUAAAGUGUUUCAAAUUGAAA